AACGAACGCUGGCGGCAGGCUUAACACAUGCAAGUCGAACGCCCCGCAAGGGGAGUGGCAGACGGGUGAGUAACACGUGGGAACGUGCCCUAAGGUUUGGAAUAUUCCCGGGAAACUGGGAGCAAUACCAAAUGUGUCCGCAAGGAGAAAGAUUUAUCGCCUUAGGAUCGGCCCGCGUUGGAUUAGCUAGUUGGUGGGGUAAAAGCCUACCAAGGCGACGAUCCAUAGCUGGUCUGAGAGGACGACCAGCCACACUGGGACUGAGACACGGCCCAGACUCCUACGGGAGGCAGCAGUGGGGAAUCUUGGACAAUGGGCGCAAGCCUGAUCCAGCCAUGCCGCGUGAGUGAUGAAGGCCUUAGGGUUGUAAAACUCUUUCGCCGAGGACGAUAAUGACGGUACUCGGAGAAGAAGCUCCGGCUAACUUCGUGCCA
rnacentral:rRNA from 1 species